UGGCGGACGGGUGAGUAAUGUCUGGGAAACUGCCUGAUGGAGGGGGAUAACUACUGGAAACGGUAGCUAAUACCGCAUAACGUCGCAAGACAAAAGAGGGGGACCUUCGGGCCUCUUGCCAUCAGAUGUGCCCAGAUGGGAUUAGCUAGUAGGUGGGGUAACGGCUCACCUAGGCGACGAUCCCUAGCUGGUCUGAGAGGAUGACCAGCCACACUGGAACUGAGACACGGUCCAG
rnacentral:rRNA from 1 species